CUUAUUUAUAUUCAGCCACAAAUAAACCUUAUCAAGGUGGGUGAAGUAGUUGGCAUUGAACCGUUCAUACCUGGCGAUUACACCAAAUUCAAUACAAAUGGUGGAUAUGAAAACGGUGCUUAUCAACUAAUGACGGCAUUUUGUCACUGGACAUAUCAUAAAAGUGGUGGUUCACACAUGGUCUGUGACCUUCAGGGCGUCAAAUCUGGAAACAGAUAUAUCCUAACGGAUCCUGUAAUACAUUCAAGUGAAAAAGAGUAUGGGAGCACUGAUUUUGGCAUAGAGGGUAUGGAAAAGGUGCUUGCAAACCACAAGUGCAAUGUUUUAUGUCAAUAUUUGGGUUUGCAUAACCCUAUGGUCGGGUCUGGCAUUCCACCAGGACCAAUGACUACAGUCUAUAGAUUUCAAGUAACGGAACAAAACAUGCUGACAUACCAGUGAAGAAGGAAAGUAUUAUUGACUUUUUACAAAAUGUGUCAGAGAUACUUUCUACAUUAGACUAUGAGUAUACGAAGAUUUUCGUAAAAGAAACCGAAGUGUGUGCUAGUACAUUGUAUAAGUGAAACUUUAUUAAAUACUUACUUUUCUUAACAAAAUACGUAUACAGUUUGUUUUGUUCUAAAUUUGCAAAAAUAAUGGUGUGAUUCGAUGCUAUAUCGCUUAUUUUCAUAUCAAAAACUAAUUGUCUAAUUGCCUUGUAAUAAACUCAAUAUGUUUGUGUUUUUGUGACUUUUAAAUACUGGAGCGCGGUCGAUAAUUUGGUAAAAUUAAAAGAUGGUUAAAAUUUGUAUUAGUAAAAUGUCCUUAUAUCAAUAUAUUUGUGUAAACUUAUGCCGGAUCUUAGGAAUAUAUAUUUGAGAUUCUUGCAAAAAAAAACUUGCAUUCGAAGAGAAGAUUUAUUAAGUGUAGUUAUUCUUUUAAAUGAUUCCAACGCAUCAAUAAAAAACAUAUCUAUUGCGAAAUUAUAUUGGUUGAAACUUGUGUUGUUUUGUGUUAUUGCCCGUUCGAUCAACAGCACCUGUUUAGUAAAAUAAUCAUUAUCAUUA